rfam:Pan troglodytes isolate Yerkes chimp pedigree #C0471 (Clint) chromosome 1, whole genome shotgun sequence.
GCUGGGCGUGGUGGCUCACGCCUGUAAUCCCAGCACUUCAGGAGGCUGAAGUGAGUGGAUCACUUGAGGUCAGGAGUUCCAGACCGCCUGGCCAACAUAGUGAAACCUCAUCUCUA